ACACUUGUCGUUUUGGUACACAUUGCAAACCGCGUCACAUGAAAUGCACCCAUGACCUGCAACAUAUUGAUUUUAUUAAUAUUGUUAGAAGUUGUGAUCGGAUCACAUGAAAUGCACACCCGAAUGAGAUUUAAGUAUCGUGACCAUGCCAAGGGAACCGUACCCAUGGCCACGAUGAAUUGUUAAUCGCGCCUAUAGCAAACUACGAAUACUUACAAUUUAUUCAACUUUUAAACCCAAACCAACUAAUAUCUUGUUCAAGUUAUUGGAGUCUUUAAUCCAACAAACUAAUUCAAAGAACCAUUUUUAAGCGGCAUUACAAAACAAACAGCUUCGAACAAAUGAACAGAGUAAUGAACCAUGUAUUUCACUCAAAUCUUCAUUCAAAGGUUCAGGGGCAGAUUCAAUAAAAUUUCAACAUAUACUAGUUUGACUAACGAAUCACUAGUCAUCAAAAUACCACAAAGAUCAAGUAAAACAAGCUUUGAAAUAUAAUUAUAACAGCAACUACUUAAAUUAAAAGACCAGUUAAAAAUGGACUUUAGAAUAAGAGAUUCGGGUUUCCUCUAAAGCUUUUGAAAAACAUACACGGACUUCCAAGCAUAGACUAAAUAGAGUUGCAGAAUUCUGAAACGGAACUGUGAACUACGAGCGGAACUAACGAACGGACGAUCUCGUCGGACCCGAACUCGAACCGGCAACUGACCUGAACCUCGAACCUCAGUUUCCCAUUUCCUACUCUGUUUUUCUGUUACUGUACGUGUGUUUGAGGGUAAUUUAUAAACCCAAGAUUUGACGACCCAGCUGGAUUUGGUGUUCUAUGCCAUUUUUAGGUAGUAUUGUUUGAACUAAGUUUAUUUUGGAGUUUGGUGGCUAUGGAGUUUUGGAGAGGAGUGACGGCUGUUGCAGCUCAUUUUUCGGCAUGUUGGCGUCUAGCGGCGGCUGUUGGUUUGGUGAUUGAGAGGUGAAGGAGAUGAAGGGUCGCUGGUGUGAGGUGACGGCUGGGAGGCGUGAGAAUGAUGAAGAAGGUUGCUAGUUGUUGUGAGGUCGUGAGAUGAAGAAGCAACAACGGUUGGUUUGUUUUGAGGGUUGAAGAUGAAGGGUUCUAGGUUUCAGGGGCGGCCUGUCCGGCGGCGGCGGAGAUGGUGAAUGGGAAUGGCGGAUUUCUAGUGAGCUGCUAGUUCUGGGUUCAAGAUGACUGAAGGUUCUGAUGAAGCUUAGGGUUCUGUCAUUGCCUUCAAGUGGGUGAAGAAGAAGAAGGUUAGGGGUGUUGUUUCUGAAGAUGAGGGGAACGACUGGUUUUGUUUCUAGGUCUAGGGUUAUUUUUAAUUAGGAUAUAUGAGGGGAAUGGGUAUAUGGGCUUGGAUUUAUGAAAUUGGGUUGGACCUGUCUUUUGGGUUUAAAUUUAGGCUAAGAAGACUAAAUAAUACAAUAAAUCUAUAAAGUGUAAAAAUC
rnacentral:lncRNA from 1 species